UCUACCCGGUGUGGAAAAGGGGCGGAGCUUUAGGAGACCUGUGGGUGAAGGCGGAGGUGGAGAUCGUGUCCAACUACACCUUCCAGAUUCUCAUCAUGGCCGCCAUCAGAGACUUUGACUAUGGGGGAAUCGCAGUCGACAGCAUCGUGUUGUCCCCUGAAUGCCGCAAUGCAUCAAAUAAUACCACCCUGGAAGGAUUCCCCAACCCUCCAAAGCAUCCUUGCAUUGAUGAUCCAGACAAGAUGUGUGAUUUCCAGGCUGACUGUGAUGCUGCAGAGGACGAAGCCAAAUGCGGU